UAGUAUUGAGCGGUAAGUCCGUUGUAGGUUCCUCCAGUGUUUCCAUCCAUAGGUUGGCCAAGCUGGAGGGGUCCAAGCUUGCACGGCGCGCUCUUUUG
rnacentral:ncRNA from 1 species